AUUGAACGCUGGCGGCAUGCCUAACACAUGCAAGUCGAACGGCAGCGCGGGCUUCGGCCUGGCGGCGAGUGGCGGACGGGUGAGGAAUACAUAGGAAUCUGCCCAGUCGUGGGGGAUAACCCGGGGAAACCCGGACUAAUACCGCAUACGACGGUGACGUGAAAGCAGGGGACCUUCGGGCCUUGCGCGAUUGGAUGAGCCUAUGUCGGAUUAGCUAGUUGGCGGGGUAAAGGCCCACCAAGGCGACGAUCCGUAGCUGGUCUGAGAGGAUGAUCUGCCACACUGGGACUGAGACACGGCCCAGACUCCUACGGGAGGCAGCAGUGGGGAAUAUUGGACAAUGGGCGCAAGCCUGAUCCAGCAAUGCCGCGUGGGUGAAGAAGGCCUUCGGGUUGUAAAGCCCUUUUGUACGGGAAGAAAUCAUCCGGGUUAAUACCCUGGGUGGAUGACG
rnacentral:rRNA from 1 species